ACACAGACCACUCACCAUGGGGUUGGGGCUCAGCUGGGUUUUCCUUGUUGCUAUUUUAAGAGGUGUCCAGUGCGAGGUCCAGCUGGUGGAGUCUGGGGGAAGCUUGGUGCAGCCUGGGGGGUCUCUGAGACUCUCCUGUGCAGCCUCUGGAUUCACCUUCCGUAGCUACUGGAUGCACUGGGUCCACCAGGCUCCAGGGAAGGGGCUGCAGUGGGUCUCACACAUUAAUCCUGAUGGAAGUGGCUCAUACUAUGCAGACUUUGUGAAGGACCAAUUCACCACCUCCAGAGAAAAUGCUAAGAACAUGCUGUAUCUGCAAAUGAACAGCCUGAGAGCAGAAGAAAUGGCCUUGUAUUACUGUGCGAGAGAGACAGACACACAGUGA